AUUGAAAUGAAAACUUAGUGAAUACUUAAAAAAUUAUUAAAAAAAGUUAUUAUUAUUAGUUAUUAGUUAUUAUUAAGAGUAUUUCUUCUGACAUUUGUCUUCUUAGGUUGCUUAUAUGGUCCCCAGAAGGAUUGAUACUGAAAUGUUGUGGAAUGUUAGGAAAGUGCUUCACUGUUUCCUUUGCCAUCUUCAGAAAAGGACAAAAAAAAAAACAAAAAAAAACAACAACAACUGAUUGUGUGCUUUUGGAACUUUUUUGGAUGUUUUUAUGCAUUCACAUCGUUUGGACAGACAAAGAGAAAAUUCUUCAAAUCUACAUUUGUUUUCAAUGAAGAAAGUCAUACACAUCUAUUGCAUAAGGGCAAAGAAACAGCUCUGGAGCAUUUACCAACAAUCAUCUAAAACAGAAGACUGCAAGGUAACCUUAAGAAAACUCAGUGUUGUGACAGCUGAUUCAACCUCAUUCUGAAGUACUGUCUGUUGGACAACAGUUUCAUGCAGACAUCCUGUGAAAUUGUUCUAAUUUCUCAUUUUAUUCAUUAAUGUGAUGAAAAAAGACUUACUGGAAUUUUUGGGAUGCUUUCAUCAGCGUCUAAACAUCGGUUUCAGCACUUGCUGGAUCCACAACAAAAAUUUGUUUGGACAGAACAUGCAGGUACUACACAACACAACACAAGCCAUCCAACUGAAUAUUCAUUUAAACAUCUUGUUGACAUUUUUAUAUGCCAGUAUCUUCUGUUAAAAUGAAAUAUUGAUUUAAAAAAUGUUUUUAAUAUGAAUUUGUAGUGUUUACCACAAACAUCCAGUGGUUGCUUCUUAUAUUGACAAAUUAAAUGAUUCCACCAAACAACUCAAAAUUAACCUGUAUAACAAUAAAUUCAUGAGUUCAUAUUAU
ensembl:lncRNA